rnacentral:rRNA from 1 species
AUGGUGAGCACACCAGUGCUGGCGCUUCCGGAUUUCACAUGCCAAUUUGCCAUCGAGACCGACACGUGCGACACAGGCGUGGGUGCGGUGCUCACCCAGGAUGGCCACCUCGUCGCCUACCUCAGCAAGGCCCUGAGGGUGAAGAACCAGAAGUUGUCUACGUACAAGAAGGAAUUCCUAGCCGUCAUGAUGGCCAUCGACAAGUGGAGGCCCUAUCUGCAGCGCGCCCCGUUCGAGAUCGUCACCGACCACAAGAGCCUCUGCACACUCGGUGAUUAGUAGCUAGUGACUGAGCUGCAGCACAAGGCCAUAUCCAAGAUGGUGGGCCUACAAUUCACCUUCCAGUACAAGAAGGGUGUCGACAACGGUGCCGCAGAUGCACUCUCCAGGGUUGGACACCUGCUGGCGCUCGACGCGCUGUUAGUUUGUCAGCCACAAUGGUUGCAAGAGGUCGCCAACUCCUACCACACUGACCCCGACUCGCAAGAACUACUGGCCAAGCUGGCGGUCACCACCUCGGAUGACCAAGGACGCACAUUUCAGAACGGCGUGAUCCGGCAGCGCGGGCGUCUGUGGAUUGGGGUCAAUUAUGCACUGCAGACGAAGCUCAUCGCAGCUCUGCAUCACAGUGCUGUUGGUGGCCACUCGGGCGCAACGGCCACGUAUCAUCGCAUCCGGAAGUUAUUCGCUUGGCCGAGCCUGAAGCGCGCCAUGGAGAAUUUUGUCAAAUAG